rnacentral:rRNA from 1 species
CACGUAGGGGGCAAGCGUUGUCCGGAUUUAUUGGGCGUAAAGAGCUCGUAGGUGGUUCGGUAAGUCGGGUGUUAAACCCCCAGGCUCAACCUGGGGACGCCACUCGAUACUGCUGUGACUAGAGUCCGGUAGGGGAGCGUGGAAUUCCUGGUGUAGCGGUGAAAUGCGCAGAUAUCAGGAGGAACACCGGUGGCGAAGGCGGGUCUCUGGGCCGAUACUGACGCUGGAGGAGCGAAAGCGUGGGGAGCGAACAGGA